CGGUCAGAACGUUUUGUCUCGUCAGCUUGAGGGUUUGAUGGAGAAGCAAGCUGCAAACACUGUUCUUCUCGAAGAUGCUAUCCAGCGUCUUUGUGCUCUUGAGCGAAAGUUUGACAAGCAUAGACCGCAAGAGGAACAAAGACCGCGGGAAGAGCCAUUACAUAAAAGGAUAAAGAGGGCGCACAACGUGGGCAUUGCGUUGUCUGGCCUUUUAACAGUUUGUCACGUCUGAAGCUGUAAGGCGCCUUCACAAUUCGGAAAACAACCCACAUAAAUAUGAUCCACA